ensembl:lncRNA LINC02667 long intergenic non-protein coding RNA 2667
AGUUGUUGAACAGCAGAAGAUGCUCCAACCUAAAUACUGAGAGUCUUAAAAGCCAGGCGGAAGGCUGGAGGGUGCUGGGGAAGUUCAGGCUGUCCCCAGAAGUCAACUUAUACGACCUUCAUGCUGGACUACACAUGUCAUCUCCCGGAGCAGCAGGCGGUGGCUGGGACGGCAGCACAGAGAAAGCCCGGCACAGGCUCCGCUCAGAGCCUCAGGAUGUGGGGAGGCUUCUACAGAUGACCAGCUUGGUGGCGUCAUCAUCCCCACCUGGAGGUGUUUCUGGGCUGGAACAGAGACACACCCCAAGACAUGCCAAGUUCCUGUCUAAGGAACAAUCUCCAGUUCCUUGGCAGAUUGCUAAUAAAUAUUUCCAGUAGGAAGGAGACCUUAUCUGGAACCAAGAGGCAUGUCUGUAAGAAACUCUUAUGAAGUUGUCGGGGUUCAAGUUGGCCUUCCUGUUGUUCAACCUGGUGGAGAAUGUUCCUGUGGGCCUUGGCAGCAAGUCAGCAUUCUUCGUUGGCAUGGAGUCCUAGGAAAAAGAGGCUCUCCACCCUGAAGCCAGUCGCAUAUCACCCCAAUAAACAGUUACAACGCCUCUGCCAACACAGGAUCCCAAA